rnacentral:tRNA from 1 species
AAAGAAUUAGUUAAAAUAUAACAUAAAUUUGUCUAAUUUAAAUCAUUUAUUAAAAUAUUCUUUU